rnacentral:tRNA from 1 species
UGGCUCAGUGGUCAGAGCACUGGCUGCUCUUCCAGAGGUCCUGAGUUCAAAUCCCAG